rnacentral:lncRNA from 1 species
GGAAUCUGAGGCAGCACCUGCUGCUUCUGUGGCUGCUUCUGCUCUUGCGCCAUCGGAAUCCCCACUAUUCACCAUCGAUCCUUUUCCUACUGAUUCUUCACAAUCACCUAUGGAUCCUUUCCCUACCAAUUCUACACAAUUACCUGUGGAUCCUUUUCCUACCGAUACUUCACAUUUACCUUUCGACCCCUUUCCUACCAAUUCUACACAAUUACCUAUGGAUCCUUUUCCUACCGAUACCUCACAUUUUCCUCUAGAUCCCUUUCCUAGCGAUGCUUCAAAUUUACCAUCGGAUUCUGAAUAUUAGAGAAAGAGAGAGAAAAGAAAAGGGUAUGCUUUUCUCUUUACUUCUACUUGCAUAAGCUUUUGUAUGACAUUCAUAUAUGUAUUUUCGAUUUCUUUGAUGUUCUGUUGUGUCAGUUAGGGGAUUAGAUGCUAAUACAUGUUGUAUGUUCUUUUCUUCUGCUGAGAGAUAGUAGAUUAAUCAAAGAAUACUUAUUUCUGCUGAUCUUGGCAAUUCAGUGGUGACUUGUGUGUUCAAUUAACUUAUGUUGUAAAUGUGAUUGAAGUUGCUUUCCUCUGUUCA